CACUCCUGCGGGAGGCAGCAGUGGGGAAUUUUGGACAAUGGGCGAAAGCCUGAUCCAGCCAUGCCGCGUGCAGGAUGAAGGCCUUCGGGUUGUAAACUGCUUUUGUACGGAACGAAACGGCCUUUUCUAAUAAAGAGGGCUAAUGACGGUACCGUAAGAAUAAGCACCGGCUAACUACGUGCCAGCAGCCGCGGUAAUACGUAGGGUGCAAGCGUUAAUCGGAAUUACUGGGCGUAAAGCGUGCGCAGGCGGUUAUGUAAGACAGUUGUGAAAUCCCCGGGCUCAACCUGGGAACUGCAUCUGUGACUGCAUAGCUAGAGUACGGUAGAGGGGGAUGGAAUUCCGCGUGUAGCAGUGAAAUGCGUAGAUAUGCGGAGGAACACCGAUGGCGAAGGCAAUCCCCUGGACCUGUACUGACGCUCAUGCACGAAAGCGUGGGGAGCAAACAGGAUUAGAAACCCCAGUAGUCCCAUG
rnacentral:rRNA from 1 species